AUAUGUUGUAACUUGAGACUUUUACAAUAUGCUUUGGCCAAGAUUCAAUUUGAAAGAUUUAGGUUAUUUACAAUCCAUGGACUAUAAAUUGUCAUAUGAUUUUGAACCAAUUGUAUCGCAAAUUGGUCAAUUUGUUCAUUUUCAUUUUGAUAUUUUGGUCUCAUUUUAAGAUAUUGUUUAUAAUAAAGGCCUUUCAUACAUAUCCAUAUUACAUACACAAUUUCCAAGCACUUA
rnacentral:snRNA from 1 species